rnacentral:rRNA from 1 species
GGUUUGAUCAUGGCUCAGAUUGAACGCUGGCGGGAUGCUUUACACAUGCAAGUCGAACGGCAGCACGGACUUCGGUCUGGUGGCGAGUGGCGAGCGGGUGAGUAAUGUAUCGGAACGUGCCUAGUAGCGGGGGAUAACUACGCGAAAGCGUAGCUAAUACCGCAUGUCAGCCCUUCGGGAAAGCGGGGACCUUCGGGCCUCGCACUAUUAGAAGCGGCCGAUAUCGGAUUAGCUAGUUGUGGGGUAACGGCUCACCAAGGCGACGAUCCGUAGCUGGUUUGAGAGGACGACCAGCCACACUGGGACUGAGACGGCCCAGACUCCUACGGGAGGCAGCAGUGGGGAAUUUUGACAAUGGGGAAAUCCGAUCCAGCCAUCCCGCGUGCGAUGAAGGCCUUCGGGUUGUAAAGCACUUUUGGCAGGAAAGAAACGGCACGGGAUAAUACCCGUGCAACUGACGGUACCUGCAGAAUAAGCACCGGCUAACUACGUGCCAGCAGCCGCGGUAAUACGUAGGGUGCAAGCGUUAAUCGGAAUUGCAUUGGGCGUAAAGCGUGCGCAGGCGGUUCGAAAAAGAGAUGUGAAAUCCCAGAGCUUAACUUUGGAACUGCAUUUUUAACUACCGAGCUAGAGUGUCAGGAGGGAGGUGGAAUUCGCGUAGCAGUAAAUGCGUAGAUAUGGAGGAACACCGAUGGCGAAGGCAGCCUCCUCGGGGAUAAUACUGACGCUCAUGCACGAAAGCGGGGAGCAAACAGGAUUAGAUACCCUGGUAGUCCACGCCCUAAACGAUGUCAACUAGUUGCUGGGGCUCUUCGGGCCUUGGUAGCGCAGCUAACGCGUGAAGUUGACCGCCUGGGGAUACGGUCGCAAGAUUAAAACUCAAAGGAAUUGACGGGGACCCGCACAAGCGGUGGAUGAUGUGGAUUACCCGAUGCAACGCGAAAACCUUACCUACCCUUUAUAUGUUCGGAAUCCCGAAGAGAUUUGGGAGUGCUCGCAAGAGAACCGGAACACAGGUGCUGCAUGGCUGUCGUCAGUUCGUGUCGUGAGAUGUUGUUAAGUCCCGCAACGAGCGCAACCCUCUUGUCAUUAGUUGCUACGAAAGGGCACUCUAAUGAGACUGCCGGUGACAAACCGGAGGAAGGUGGGGAUGACGUCAAGUCCUCAUAUUCUUGCGGGUAGGGCUUCACAUCGUCAUACAAUGGUCGGGACAGAGGUCGCCAACCCGCGAGGGGGAGCCAAUCCUGUGAAACCCGAUCGUAGUCCGGAUCGCAGUCUGCAACUCGACUGCGUGAAGUCGGAAUCGCUAGUAAUCGCGGGAUCGCGGUGAAUACGUUCCCGGGUCUUGACCGCCCGUCACACCAUGGGAGUGGGUUUUACCAGAAGUAGUUAGCCUAACCGUAAGGAGGGCGAUUACCACAGUAGGAUUCAUGACUGAGGUGAAGUCGUAACAAGGUAA